ncrna:unclassified sequences c4-2 RNA
GCCCCUUUGGUAUGGUGCGGAAAGGCGAAAGCCCCUGAACGCUUUUGUUGGCGUAGGACACCUAAACCGAAAGGGCUU